rnacentral:lncRNA from 1 species
UUCAUUUUACUAAAGGUCAUUAAACUUAUUUUAUUUAUAACUUUUGAUAGGAAACUCCAAUUUAAGUGAAAUUUGAGGCUAACUCUAUGUUUUAACAUACAAAUAACUUAUUUUUGGCAUCAAAACUCAAGGAAAAUAGUUCAACACAUAGGUUCAAGACAUGACAGCAAGCUCAAAAAUUUCAAAGCAACAUGUUCAAGGAAGUUCAACAACAAGCAUAUGGUUCAAGAUUUGGAGAGAUCCCCUUACCUCUUGUAGUUUUCACGAAAUUUAGAAGGAAGAAUAAAGGAGUUUAGAUUUAAGUUUUCAACCUUCAAGAGUGCAAAAUAAGGUUUUGAAACUACAAAUGAUAAUAGAGCAAGAAAAUGAAGUGAAAAUCAAGCUUAGAGUUCAAAAUGAAAGUCACUUACCUAAGCUCGAUGGAAGAAGGGGCUCAAGAACACUUGGUAAAACUUGGAAGAAGAAGAAAAAUAUGGUCUCCGCUUUCUCUAAAAGCUUCAACAAAAUGGGAGAACUGACAUAGACUUUGGCUUUUAAAAAUAACACUUAUUGUAGGUGAAAUGCUUGGACCAAUAGGAUUGCAAGACCUUAUCCUUAUCUUCUUAAUCUAAGUACUUUGAAUGAUCGUUAAUAUAACUAAUUGGCAACUUGGACAGUCCUUGAUGUACUCUCCACGAGCUCAGUCAUGCCUUGUAUAACUUUUUGCACUUUUCCAAAACUAACUAUAAAAGGAUAAAGUAGAGUUUUGCCAAAAAUGGUAAAAACUGUUUUUGCUAAAACUAAUAAAUCUUAUCUUAAUCUUCUAGAUAAUGUGCUAAUCUCCCUUGGGAUACGUGUACUUAGAGUGAAUCUUGCAUAGAGUCCACUCACAAAGCGACAAAUUACACUACGACUCAAUGCACAGUGUAAUUCUUUCCCAGAUGAAAAUCUAGUUUAGUGAGUUUCUAUUUCUCUGUCAAGCUUUACUAAAUCAAUCAAAAAUACACACACAAACACACACACACACACACAUACAUAUACACAUAUAUAGCACGAAAUUCUAUGAUUAAAAACAUAUAACUACUGAAAUUAAAUUCAUACAUGCACAGAUGACACAACACAGAGUUUUCUCUGUCAGUUUGAGUUGUAGUUUUUUAGAGUAUUACAACUUUAACUUAUUUUAAUUAUUUUACAUCAUAUAAUUAGACACUUUAAUUAGUCACCAACUAAUUAAACUAAAAUUCUAUUUUUAAACUAGUUAUAUAGUCAUUUACGAAAAUAUCCUCCACUUUAAACUCUUAUGACUUAAUUACCCCUUUUCUAAUUUUAUUGAAUCUAGAUCACCAUUAAUCAACUGUAGUUAUCCUCACUUAAUUUUUAAAUUUACUUACAUUAAUUACUAAUUUUCUUUCAAGCUUUUAAUUCUAUUUCUAGACCAAAAUCCAAUUAUUAACAUCUAGGUCAUUAAUGAGUUGACCAUUAUUUGAUCAGAGAAUUUUCUCUAAGUUAUCCUUAUUCCUUCUAGACUUUAGCUUAAAAGUUUAAGAGUUUAAUGAUGCCUAGAUAUCCUAUGGUAAUAUCUCAUUUUUUUUACCAUUUCAAUAGUCUAAAAACAUUACCCUAUCAUACAACAAAGCAACAACACUAUCUAUCACACACAUGGAAAAUUGGGAUGUUACAGUAGCUCAACUGUGCUUGUGUACAAUGACCCAAAAAAAUACAGUUUCGAAGUAAUGGUUCUUAUAUCAAUUGUAUUUAUUUAAUUUUAUUUUGUUCAUCCAUAUUUCCCCGACCUUUCUUUUAAUUAUUAGCAAUAUUAUGUUAGUUUGAUUUUGUACAUAUUCUAUUCAUCUACUGACAUAUAGUCUCGACUUCUACUGUACUGUCAUCAAUUUUUAUAGGUUGUUUACCAACUUUGGCUACAAUUCCAGUCUGGAUUGGUCUCUACCAAGCUUUAUCAAAUGUGGCAAAUGAGGUAAUAAUUAAUUAUAUAAACUUUUAUCAUUUGAGCGGAGAUUUUGAUGGACAAAUUACACACAGAAAAUAUGAUUUUUUGUUAAUUAUGGAAAAUCUUUAAUUUGAAGGGACUGCUAACCGAAGGUUUUCUUUGGAUCCCCUCUUUGGGUGGUCCUACUACCAUUGCUGCUAGACAAAGUGGAGCUGGAAUCUCUUGGCUUUUUCCAUUUGUGGUAAGAAAGAUAUCUUUUGCUACAUAGGUGAAAUAAUAAGUUGUAGUUGGACUUUUCGCCCCUAAUCCUGUGAGUCUGGCAUUAUGAUCUUUAGAAGUAGACUGUUUACUCUGUAUUGUUGGAAUGAAGUUAUGGAUGGAAUGUUCACAGUUUACUUGCUGCAGUCAUGUUCCAAGAGGAAAUAAAUGGAAAACUUCGUAAAUUGAUUUUGUACUUUAAAUCAUUAUACAGUAUCAUAACAAACAUCUGUUAUGCAGGACGGACAUCCACCUUUGGGUUGGCAAGAUACUGCAGCAUAUCUUGUUUUACCUAUUCUUCUUGUCGUUUCUCAAUACGUUUCAAUGGAAAUCAUGAAACCACCUCAGGUAAACACAUCAGUUCUCCUCUGUUUCUUUUUCUUUUUUUUGGUGUUAACAAACUAAAUGACUUCUUUUGACAGACAGAUCCUUCUCAAAAGAAUCAACUUCUUAUUUUAAAGUUUCUUCCACUCAUGAUUGGCUACUUCUCAUUAUCUGUCCCAUCUGGACUAACAAUUUACUGGUUAGUUUUUCAGAAACUAUAUUAAAACCAUCCUUUCUAGCCAAUAAAUUCUUAUUUUUUAUGAUUUUGCUAUAACUUCAAACAUUCUUUGCUUUAUUAUUGGUUACUAAUAUAAAAUGUAUUUAUCUUCUACACUAUCUAGGCAAGUCCAAUUUGGUCAGAAAACUCCCGUAAUGGUAUCUAUACAACUCUUCUUUAUUUCAGAAACCAUUUCCUUGAUAUGCCUGCCUAAUGUGGGCAACAAAAACAUACAAAGAACAAAUGCACGAGAGCUAAAAUUCUUCUUUCUUAUUGAAACAAUAGCAUGUUCAUCAAGUGAAUGCUUUCUCAUGAUUAAAAUUUUUUAUUAAGAGAUGGUUUUGAUUUUUGACAACAUUGAUUGUGUGCUAGAGCCUAGGGGAAAUAAAAAACAAUUUCAUUGCUGCCUGAUUUUCUAUUUCUUUUACUAGGUUUAUAAACAAUGUCCUGAGCACAGCUCAACAAGUAUGGUUGCGAAAAUUGGGAGGUGCAAAGCCUGUUGUGAAUGAAAAUGCUGGUGGGAUUAUUACUGCAGGACGUGCUAAAAGAUCAGAUUCGCAGCUAGCAAGGAAUGGUGAAAGGUCAGUUUUUUCUAGUACAAGUUGCAGAGUUUCAACUCCUCUUGGAUAACAAAUUGGUGAUCUACAGGUUUAAGCAGUUAAAGGAAGAGGAAAAGAAGAAAAAGGUAAGCAAGGCACUGCCAGUGGAAGAAGUUCAGUCACUGGCUUCUGUUUCUGCUUCUGAUGAUGGCUCAGAUACAGAAAGUGACAAUAAGGUAAGUAUUAACUUGUGGAAUUUCUUGCUUAGAAAAUUUAUGUGAUAUAGCUGUCUGUUUGAGAGGAAAGAAGAAUUAAGGAAAAAGAAAAAUCUCCACAUUAACAUUAUUUGAUAUUGCACAGAAAUCUUUUUUAUAAAUUCAAUGUAUACAUUACAAAGAACAAUGUCUGACUAGCCUUAAUUUCCAAUCACUUCUAAGAUGAAACAUCUAGUAAAUUUGCCUGCAUCAGCAUGCAUGAAAAAAUAAUUGUGUCCAGCCAUAGAUUGAAUGUUCUAAAUUUUCUUUCCCUAUUGCAAUUUUGUGUUUCACAUGCUCAUUGUUGGGAAUGUAUAUAUAAUAAUAAAGUGACAACCAAUGACGUUAACUUCAGAAAGUAAAGUUAGUCAUUUAAUGGGCAUUCUACCCAACUUUCUAGCAGGUAUAGGGUAGUUAAGGGUGUUGGGCUAAUUUGAAAUGGGCAAGGAUCAAAACAAAUGGAGACACAGUUGGAGGAUGAGAAAGUGGAAGUUGAGCAACAUAUAAGUGGCAAACACUCAUAUACCUAAUGCCCUUGAGCUUUUGGGUUUUACAUGGUUUUUAGUCUGCUUAUAUGAUUCUUAGCCCAUUGUCAAAUAUCUUCUCAGGGUUUUCAGCUCCCCUCACUAACAAUACCAUAUCCCUUGCUCGGUAUUUAAAGCCUUGCUACCAUGACAUAAUGAGUGGAGAUUAAAUCAUAAAUGAUUUCAAACCAAGAGAAAUGUUAGCAACACACUAUUUUGAUCUCACUAUCUAAUAUUAGUUACAAUUUAUUGAAAAUCACAAAUUUUGGUGAAUCUUGCUUCUUAUUUAAUUAUUAUCCUAAUUUUGUAGUUUUGAAUAAAUUUUAACCAAUAGAAAAAUAAUGUGUUAGACAUAGUGUGUUAGAGGGUGUUGUUAGCAUUUCUCUUUGAACCAAAUAUUUUAACUGCUGAAAACCGAUACCGUGGAUAGAUAUGUCUGCCUUUUAAAGAGAAGCCCGACCUUCAAAUUAUAUUUCCUAUAGCUCACAAAUUGAAAGGAGGUGUCUUUUUGUCUUGUUUUACUGCUAACAAAGUGGAAGGUAACUAGAGCAUAACUUUCUGAAGGAAUGUUCUCUUUGUUAUUUCUCCCCUUCUCUUCUAACCACCUGUCGUCCCAUACUGUCCUUAUUUUUGUUUUUUAUUUUAUUUUUUAAAAGAAAAUUGCUGUGACUUUGUUAUAUUUUAUUGUUUUAAGAUUGUUUGGGAUUUUCAUUCUUUUAGAUAAAAUUCCCGAUGCUAAGUUACCUUGUUACAGGGACAGGAAGAUGCAGAAGAAGCAUACGCUUCUAAAGUUGGCGAAGAGGUUCAAAAUUAUUCUAGGGAAAGAAGAAGCAAGCGUUCGAAGCGGAAGCGUGCUGUAUAAAGGACCGCAUACGAUUAGUUUAUAGUGAGUUUUGUAUAUCUCAGAUUAUAGCAUUUUUGGGUUGGCUAUUAAUUAAAUAUAUGUAUCUAUACUCGGCAAAAUAUCUUUGUUAAGUUCCACAUGUUAGCUAAAGCAAUUUGUCUUGUGACGUUUAAUUUCAUUAAGAUGUAUCCCCCCUUAAAACUAGGAGUAUAAAAACUUCUAUUCCCUCCUUUCCAAAAUAAUAAUUAGUUUUAGCUUUUUUUUUUCUUUCUAUAAAUAGUCUUUUUUUUUUCAAGUUAUUUUUCUAACAAUAUCCCAAGACACGAUUAAGAAGAUAAAUUAAUAUAUCCAUUGAAAAGAAACAUCAACCAUAAAAAUAAGUUGGUGGAUAGUAGGGUAAUUUAAGAUAAAAUUAGUUGAAAAAUUAAGAAUAUUUUUUUUCUUCUAAAUUUACAUCAAUGAUUAUUUUUUAAUCAGUGUGUCUUAACCUUAAAGGAUUAUUAUUUUGGAAUGGAUGGAAUAUUAGAGAGACACAGCAGGUUCCUAACAGCACAAUAAUGUUCUCUAUGAAAAUGAUUUUGAAUGGAAUUUGAAUUGGCUGAUAGUAGUUGUUGUCAUUAAUGUUAAAAUUUGGGUUGGGUUGACCACAUUAGGUUCAUGGUAUUUUUUCCCUAACUUGGUCUCUAACCAAACCGAUCCGAUUAUUUGGGUUGGGUUGAUUCACAUUUGAUUCAUGGCACUUUUUCUAAGCUUGGGUCUCUAAACUAAACCAAUCCAGUCCAACUAUUAUCCGAUUCAUUUUGAUCAGCUGAUCGAGUUUAAUAUUAAAAUAAAAUAAAAUAAAAAAUUUAAAAGAAAUUAAAUAAAUUAGGAAAUUGAAUGUGAAGUAUGAAUUGAAUAUGUCAUUGUGAAGCAUGAAAAAAAUUAAAUGGACAGAGCUAAAGUCAUAAAUGCUAAAGAUUAAUCAAAUAUAAAAAUAAAAGAGAAAAUUAUGUAAUUGGAUGGGUCAGAUUGAUCAGGUCCCCAAAAUAAAAUUCGAGACCCGAUCGAAAUUGAUCGAAUUUGCAUUUUUUCAAUUAGACAUGAACGAAUAUGAAAUUUUUUAUUUAAAUGGGUUUAGAUUCAUUGGAUUAUUGAAUUAAUCUAGACAUGUGGUUAUUCCUAGUUAAAACCCAGUUGAGGGGCGAUGGUGUUUCAUUAUUAUAAAAUAGACUAAAUUAAUAUCAAACUGAUUAUAUAAAUUUAGAGCCGGUAGAUGAAAGAGUGCUCCAAAAUCAGAGCUUAGCUGUAAAAUUAGGAGAAAUAUUUUAGUUAAAGCCUUAUGGCCUAAGGUGUUCUUCACACGGCCAGUCUGUCAACAUGUACUGCCUAGUUGAUUGAGGAAGUAUUCAGCAAACUUAACAAGCUGAUUAGUUUGUGCAUGUUUGUUAUUGUUGCAAACGGACUUUUGAGAUAAAAUAAGAUUUUCAAAAGCAUUUAAUUCUUUUUUUUGUAAAACGGAGUUUGUUGGUUGUUAGAUUUAUCUUGGAAUUCUUACACCACAUUUUGAACGGAUAUUCAAACAUGCUUGACUUUAGACAUAGUCAAUGCGUCAACAUGUAAAGUACGCAUAUUCAAUUAAAUGCCAUUUUUUUGUACAAACACAAUGCUCCUAAAAGCAGAAUUGCUAAUCUACACCAAUCCAUUGAUAUCCAACAGCUAUUGAUGUCUCUACUGAACACUGAUGCCUAAUGAGCGUUUCCAUCUCUAUGGUUUAGAUGGUGGGUGUUGAUUCUCUGUUGGGUUAGGCCCUGAUGGGCUUUUACGCUUCUUUUCUUCAACCUGUGAUUUUGUUGCUCGAAUCAGAAUUUAUUCAUGUAAAUUAAGUAAAAUGAUUGAAAAUACAAAUAAGAAAAACGAUUAAUGUAUUUACUAACCCAAUAAGGUAUGACAUGUCCACUUCGCUGCUUUGGGCUAGCGUCUAAGCUUCCGAGCUUGAAAUGAACUGAGUGCAGAAAUAUAGAGUGAGGUGGCAUGCAAUUAGUUGCAAUGAACAUUGCAGAGCCAGCUUGGGCUUUACAAAUUAGUGCAUUUUUACAUUAAAAUUUAUAAACUUAAAUUUAAUCGGAGUUUGCAAAAACAAUGCAAGUCUUACCUUUACAAAAUUGAGUUUUCAGACAAAAUUUUCAUGCAUAAACGUAUUUUUUUGAAGUAAUGAAACAUGUCAUCAAAAUAAGUUUAGUUUCCAAAUGAAAAUCGAAACCUAGCCUUAGACGAACAGACAGAAGAAAAUAGUUUCAGAGCUAUUUGCAGGAGAAUGUGAAGCACCUGACUGAGUAGCCUGAACACUAGCAGUGACAUGAUUGAGUGCAGAAGCUGCAAGCAGAAGCCAUGCAAAGAGAAGAUGGACCAGAAUUUGUCUUCUCAUUUGUAGCAUACUUCUCAGUGAAUAAGAGUGUUGCGCUCUUAAUGGGGUAUGUCACGAGCAUUUUUGCAGUUUUUAUAUGCUAUAUCUUUUGGUAUUAUAUAAUCAUGACGAAACUUGAAAUUUUAUGUGAGAAUGUUUGUAAAAAGAUGCCCGGGAAUCCUAUGCCAUUACACUCUGUCUCUAAAAGAUCGAGAAUCUGUUUUUAUCCUCAUUAUGGAUUGACUUCUUACCCGUUAUCAUUUCUCUGUUAUCAUUGCUUCCAUGAUAAUUUUACAAGUACUUGUUCUUAUUUUUCUUUUUGAGUGCUUCGCCGAUAUGUUGGCAUCCUUUCUAUAUCAGUUUAAUAAAAUUUGAGCAAUAUUGUAGCGUAUCUGAUCUACAAAUCUAAGGAGUGUUAGUUGAUUGAACACGUGAGUUAGACAUCUUUGUUCGAUAAUACAAAUCCUUGAUGGUUCGGAUUAUUUCAUCUAGACCAUGUAUGAGUUGGUCUACAAGUAUAAAUAAGGAGUCUCCCAUUAGAAAGAGAUAAGUAUGUGACCAGCAUAUUAAAAAUAACGACUUACAAACUUCGAAUUUUAAGCAGGACAUCAGGAUCAAUCUAAGAUAAAAUAACUAAAAUUUAAGUUUUAGGUCUAUUAAUAAAAAAUUAUUUGUUAUUAGUUUUUUUAAAUAAAAGAAGGUUAACAUAUUAACUAAAAGGCCUCACAUAUUACUUUUUUCUUUAAGAUUAAAAAGUUUCAAUUUUAUUUUAGAUCUUACUUUUUGUUGGAUCGGUCGUAAUUUUAAGGUUUUUGAACAGAUGUGAUUUUAAAUUCUUGUGUGUUGUUUGGUUGUGGCUCAUUAAUGAAGUUUUCUAUGGUGUUUUACUCUCUUUGUAUUUCCAACAAGUGAUAUGAUUUCUGCAUGUAGGUUUUCCCAUUCUUAUUUCCAACUGUAUGUGUGUGUUCAGUUUGCAAAUAUUAGGGGUGUUUGUGAGUUUUGGUCAAAUUCAAGAUCCAACUUAAUCAAACUUGAUUGGUCUGAUUUAAUUUGAUUUUUAUAAUUUUCUUUUAGAUCCAACCCAAUUUAUUUAUGAACGACUUGAUUUAGUUGGAGCUAGCAUAUUAACCAUUUAACUUUGAUUUUUUCUUCUUUUUAUAAUUACUAUUUUAUAUCAUGAUUCAUCCAAAAAUUCAAUACAAUUAACGUAAUAUUAUCAAAUGUCUAAAAGUAAUAAAAUUGAUUCAUUUAAUACAAUUAACAUAAUAUUCUAAAAUAGAUUAAUACAAAUUAAAACAGAAUAUUAUUCAACGAGAUUUAUCAUAAUAGUGUGAAUUACAACUAUUUCCUACAAAUUAAUUUCUUGCAAUAAAUAGUUUUGUUGUAACCAAGUUUGUUAUAACCAGAUUUGUUAUAAUUAGAUUUACUUGAACAAAUGAAUAAAAUAUGACUCAUUAAUAUUAUAAACCUGACAAAAAAAAAUAUAAAAAAUGAAACAAAUAACAAUUUACCUAAUUUACCUAAAUACCGUAGGAUGUUCCAAUACUUGGACUCCUAAUAUUAGCCGUAUUUAAAGUCAAACGAAACAAUUCUAAAAAUUUAAAUACAACUCCAUCAGCACAACAAUUAAUUCUAUCAAUGUAAUGUGUUCUGGUGUUUGUAACCCUAACAUAUUUAAUUGUUUAUAUUUUAUUAAAAGCACUAAAGGAAAUAACUCACACGGGUUGGAUUAAUAGGUUUAUAAAUCUAAACUCAUCAUCGAUUUAAUUAGAUCUUGACUCAAAUAUAUAAAUUACUCAAUCCAAACUAUUCAAAUUAAUUUAAAUCAAUUUGAAUUCAAGAGUACCUCAUUCACUCACAUGAACACCCGCACCCCGCAGCAAAUGUACCUUUGUUGUUUACUGAACCUGGCCUAAAUUAGACUGGCUUUUGCGGAAAGACUACUUUCUUAUUCCAUUUGUACGUUUAUUUAAAGAAAUUGGCUUUCUCUAUAGCUAGCGUGAUAUAUAGCCUGGCUUAUGUGAGACAUGAUGAACAUCUUUAGUUACAAAGUCAAGUGUUGUUAUGAUUGCUUCAAUUAGAAUUUGAAUCAAAUCAAUCACCGAACCACACUAAUGCUACCAAAAUAAAUGUGCCUAAAAUGUUGUGGCAGCGACCUAAACGAACAAAUGUGUACCCGUAAAAUUAGGACGAUGAUAUGUUUAAGUUAAUCUAACCCACUGAUCUUUUGGUUGUUUCUUUUUUUUUGGUAAAUACUAACCCACUGAUUUGGUUUGUCAGAUAUAUUGAUCUGAUUUAUUGUAGAAAAUAGAAGUUUUUGCACCAACUUAAGGACUUAAGUAGUGUUAUACCAAUAAUAAAAUAUGAUGAACAAUUAACUACAACAGUCAAUUAGUUUAUUUUUUAAGAUAUUUUAAUUAGUUUUUAUUUUUUUAUUAAAUUUUGUUUGAUGGUUUAAUAAAUAAUUUUUUAGUAGUUUUUAAUGUUAUUAAAAUGUUACUUAAAAGUAAUAUUUUUUAAACAUUAACUUCCAGCUUUUAUAAUAUUACAUUUUUAUUCUUAAUAUAUUUAUCUAAUUUUUUAGUUAUCUAUUUUAAAUAUCUUGUUAGUUCCUAUCAUUUAACAUUUUUUUUUUUAUUUUUCAUCCUUCUAAAAUUAUCUUUAUUUGUAGUCCUUAAAGUACUUUACAUAAUAGUUUGAAUAAUGAAAAAAAUGUUUUCUAAAAUAUUAUAAUAACAAAAACAAAACAAACAAAGACUAAAAAAAAAUUGUAAGGAUGAAAAUAAAAAAAAAUAAUAAAUUACAAACCGAAAAGAUAUUUAAAUCUUAAAUAAAUUAUAAUUUUAUUAUUUUUUAGUUACUUCAAUAAUUAAUUUUAUCAAGCACUUAUAAUUUAAUAAAUUAAUUUUUUAACUUUCAGUUAUUAAUUAACAUUUUAGUUUUUAACAAAUUUUUUCAACUAAUUUUAUCUAAAAUAAUCUAUGUCUCAAUAAUUUGUUGUUUAAUAAAUUAUGUAAGAAUUUUCCUAAUCAUUUUGUUAUCCAUAAACCAGUUUAUGCCUGCAGACAGAGGUGGGGCUGAUUGAUAAUUAUGACUUGUUUUGACUAAGCUGAGUGAUCGGGAAUUGAUAACGCUGAAACGGUGGGGAUGGAGAUUGUUGUUAUAAAAUGAGUGUAAGUUUGGUUUGACGUUAAAAUAUUAAUAUAAUUUAUCUUAGAUAAAUUUUUAUAUAUUUAGUUUUAUGUUUGAGAAAAUUUAUUUGGAAUUGAAACAAUGUUGAGUAAUUUUUGUGUUAAAUAAAAAAUAAUAUAUUAAAUUUUAUUCUUAAUUUAAUUUUAUAAUAAAAAUAUUCAAUCACAAAUCACACAACUUAAAAAUUAAAUUUCAUUAAAAUCAAUUAAUUCAAAAAUAAUUUUACAAAUCAUCCAAACACAAAAGUAUUGGUAAAAUUAAUUUUGAAUGGAAUUAGUUUUAUAAAAUUGAUUUUAAUUAAAAUUAAUUUGAAGUGAUGUAAUUUAUGAUUGAAUGUUUUUAUUAUAAAAUAAAGUUAGAAAUAAAAUUUAAUAUAAAUUUUCUAAUCCAAAGUAAAAGUUAUUCUUCAACUCAAAAUUAAUUUUGGAUCCAGAAUUAAUAUUGAAAUAUUUUGUAACAUGAAAUAAAACAUAUAAAAUUUUAUCUAAAAUCAAUUCAUUAUUCACGUGAAACCAAGCACACAUUUAGUAUUUGUUGGAUAGACAUUGACAAAAUUGAUUUUGAAUGAAAUUAAUUUUGAUUAAAAUUGAUUUUGAAGUGAUGAUUUAUAUUUAGAUUUUUUAUUAUAAAAUUAAGUUAGGAGUAAAAUUUACAGAAUUUUAAAUCCAACAUAUAAACUAUUCAAAAUUAUUAUAAUUCAAAAUCAAUUUUGAAUUUUUCUUCAACUUAAAAUCAAACAUGUAAAAAUAUAUUUAAAAUGAAUCCCAAGGAGCAAACCAAAUCAAACAGGCACUUAAUUAUUAGAGUCCAUGCCAAUGCAAAAACAAAAAUAAUAAUUAUAAGCUGGUCUGCAAAGUUAAACGGGUCGUGGGAAUCCCGAACAAGCCUAGCUCUAAGCUGUAUAAUGUUUCUAUUUAUACCUCCAUUUUUCACAACUAUGACGUAGUUCCGGAGAAUGACUUCAGAAUUGUUUUUUGUUAUUCCUAAAAAUCAUUUUUGAUAAUUUUUUAUUUUGUUUUGUUUUAUCUUGUCACAAAUUUAUGUUUUUUCUAAUUUUUUUAUUUAUAUGUAAACGUGAAAUAUCGUGUUAUUAAGAUUUGUAAAGAGAUGAGUAUACCAAUUGAUGCGGGAGAAAAACCUGGAGGUGGGGUUAAGGAAGAGGCGUGUAACAAUUUUUUUAAAAAAAAGUGAAAAACCUGGGAUGCAAAAUAACGUUAAAAAGACUUUUAUCAGUAAUAAAACAAAACAAAACAAAGAGAAGAAAGGGAGGUGUACAUAACAAGUGCCCUAACUGUUUUUAUCUCAAGGCCCAAAGUGGAAUGAUUUUUUCGGUCUCUUAGUAAAUUUAUAUUAUACCCGUACCGAACCGUUUAUUGCAUGAGAGAUUUUAUAUUGAACAAAACUUAUAUAUAAUUUUUAAGGUAUUUUUAAUGUUAUUUUAGAAUUAGAAUUUUUCUUCCUAAAAAAAUUAGAAUUUUACUUUUGGUAAUUUAUAUUAACUUUUAGCAUAAAAUAUGUGACUUAUUGAAAUAAAUUUGUUUUUUAUUAGUUCACAAAUUAAAAAAAGAAAAAUAUUCUUUUAAGUCUCUUGUACAAUAAGAAAAAAACCGUCAUAAAUUAUGAGUCUAAUAAGUCAAAAACAUGUUAGGAGUAACUAAAAAAAGUAUAUUUUUUUAACUGAGAAAUUAAAAAAAGUACAUUUAAAUUUAAGAAACCAAAAACUAAAGUAAUAUAAAUUUAAGGAAAAAAACAUAUUUAAUCUUAAAAUAAAUAACAUUUGUUCAUUUCAUUCAAAUUCAAUGGUAAUACUUACAUUCCUAAAACAAACAACAACAAUAAUACUUAAUGUUUUGUUUGGUUUAAAUAAUAGAAAUAAUAAGGAUGAAAAUGAAAAAAAAAUUAAAAUAUAGUCUAAAAGAUACGAAACCAACAUAAAUAAUAAAAUCAACGUUAUUUCUCUCCCCUUUCCCUAAAACAAACACAACAUCUUCCAUUCAUUUAAAUCAAAAGUGAAUAUGAUUUUCUUAUUCAAGGUUAUUAUCUUUAGAAUUAAUUUAAUGGUAUAUUCGGAUUAAAUGAAACGGAAAAGAAAAUUAAUAAUGAUUUGUUAAAUAAUAAAAAAUAGAGAAGUAAAUAGUUUCUAAAAAUUAAAAUUCAAUUUUUCUUUUCUUUUUAUUUUAUUCAGAUUUCAAACUUGUCUCUUCCUUGUUAUUUUCUCUACGCCACAUCAAACAUCAUAUUGUAUUGUGGCAGUAAUUCGGCCCAAAACAACAAGUACAACAUUUUUAACAAACCACAAUGUGAUAACUGACCAAAAGGGGAAAAAAUGAAAAAAAAAAAAAAAACUAUCAAAAGUACUGUAAUAAAUAUUAAAUGGUUCUUGACCGGAAGGAUCAGACGUUCUACAAAAAGAAAAUAGUUAGUAGUAAAAGAAAUUUGUUUUUUUUUUUAAAAAACUAUAUCAUUAUAGAGAGGUUGAUUUCGCAGCCCCAAUUCCUUUUAAAUAUAAGGGGUGAUAAUACAUUUAAUGAAUAAAAUUCAAUUAAUAAAAGGAUAAGUGUUUACAUAUUAGUGGAACAAAAAGUAAAAAUGAAGAAUAUAUUUAUAUGCCCUGCAUAGGAUAUUUGAUUGCACUCUUACGGUAAAUAAAUUUUAUUUUAAAACCUAUUGUUUUGCCAAUUAAAUGGGUAUAAUCCAUAUUUUGUAAGUAUAUAUAUACUAUGAUGUGAUGUACAUAAUCAUUUGUAUGAAAUUAUUUUUUUGAAGCUUGUAUGAGAAUUUAUAUUAUAAAUUUUGUUAUGAAAUAUAUUAAAAUUACUCAAGAAAUUGUUUAAAUAUUUUUAUUAAAAUUCAAUUAAAAUAAAUCCCAACAACUUAUAAAAUUUAUAAAAUUUUUCCUAGAAAUCUGUUCAAAUGUUUCAUUAAUCUCAAAUUAUGAUCUAUGUACCAAAAAAAUAUUAAAAUGUACCAUCAAAAUCUCAAACUAUGAUCUGAAUGGAUAAUAUGUUCCAAAAAGCAUGACGAAUAUGGUUUUCGAACUUUGCUACUUCCAUUUAUUUCUUAGUAGUAUUUUAUACUAAUUUAUCCAAUAAAAUGUGACCAAGCCAAACCAAUUCGUCACAUGUUCGUGCAACGUUUCUUCCCCACAAAUUUUAGCACCGUUAUUAUUUAUUUUGCAAUCAAAUUGGGUUAAAUUUGUUGAGAUAAGAAAACGAAUGCACAUGGAGCUGGUCGUAAUUUGGUGAGUUGGUCACGACAAUAACGUUUGUGUAAGAUUGCAAGAGGAUAAGAAGCUCUGUUUACGAUGUCCUUGUCGGUCAACUUUUUUCUGAAAGUAAUCAUAAUUUUUUUAAAAACACUACGACAUUCAUGUUAAAUACUAUUUCCUCCAUUUUUAUAUAUAAGGAACAAAUAACUAAAUUCUCAAGAACAAUAAAAAAUAAUUAAAUUAGUUAUUUUUAAUUAAGGUUAUCAAAAUUGAGUUUGAUAGUUUUGUUAAAACUCCAUGGGAGUCUAUUUCAUAAAAAAUAUACAUAAAUAAUAAGUUAAUAUAUUCAAAAUAUAUUAUUUUGUAAGCAAAAUAACAAUAAAUUUAUAAUUCAUACUAUUAGUUUAUUAAAAACAUAAGUUGUCAAACUUAAAACAAGAAAUAAAAAGUAAACAUGGUGAGAUAUAAAAUACUACUCCUAAUUCAAAAAGCAUGAAACCAUGAUUAGCUAAAUCAUAAUUCGAAAGUCAGAAUUGGAUCAAAAUUAAACAUUGUGAGAUAUAAAAUACUACUCUUAAGUUAGAAUUGGAUCAAUUUCCGGUUCCCUUACGUGUGAUUGUUGCUUGGAUUAUGGGAAUCAAAAGGGACCUCAACUUCAACGUCCUAGAGACAGGUUCUCUUGUUGUGGCAAUAACAAUCACAGCCUUCACAUUAGUGACAUUACAGCCUUGUUCUCCUAUUUUGCUACAUUGUUAUUGGGGCAUGCUUUUUUGUACAAAGAACGCCCUCCCGUAAGCAUAGGAUAUGUAACAAAAAUAUUAACAAAUUACAACUUAUAUUAAUGCAUCAUGAUUCCUGAAAUUAUAAUUCAUAUCUAAAAUUUGGUCACUCUUUUUUCUAGACCAAGCUGAUGUUCCUAACAUAACGCUUAAAUUAGCAAUCGAAGCAGUGUUUAGAGCUCGGUAGGUAUGGUUCAUGUUCUCUAGUUAUAAAUAUGCAGCACACAUCACAUAAUCUUUUGUGUGCAUUCAAGAACUAUAUGAAACUAACUACUGGCACAGUGGCACUCGAUUGUAGGCGUAAAUGUUUGUUAGUGUAAGAGAAAGAAAGAAAGAAAGAAAAAUAGAGAGAGAUUCCUAAACAACUAAAGACAAAGUGGAACGAGUUUAGAAGAAGACUUACAUGACUUUCAGGCUCAAGCCUUCAACCAAGGGUCUCACGUCACCGUGUCUCGCGCUCAACCUUCACAACCAAACGCCCAAAUCGAUACCACUGAACCAACAACUUUGUUGUGACUCUAGGUGUUUUCGAAGAAGAACAAGACAGAAUAGAACGAGUUUGGAUUUUGGAAGAAGAGAAGGGAUCAAGAUAGCAACACAAGCUACCCUAACUUGUGUGUCCCUAAGUUUUGUUUCGCAACUUUUUUUCUAGGUUGUUCAAAACGAAGUCAUUUUUAGUAGUUUUAGUUUUUUCGAGUAAACUCUGUGACUAGGCCUAAACUCGUGAGUUUGCACGAGUUUGGUUCUAGUCCAUCGAGUCCACUUUAAGUUUGCCAAAAAAUCAAUUUGCUUGCAUUUUGACUCGUGUUAGUCAAGUAGACUCUUAAACUUAUAAAAGUUCACUAGUUGACUUUAGAGUUUGAUAACCAUGCUUUCAAUUAAUGAUAGUAAAAAUUAAAAUUUCAUUCCAAAAGUACCCUUAGAAUUAAAUAUAUUAAGUGGUGGUUAUAUUUAAUGAGGCUACUCUUAAUUUUAUGAACAAAACUUUUCAAUAAUAAAUAUUCUAUUUUUUAAAUGUCAAUACUAUCAAAAUUACUCAAAAAUAAGAUUUCUCUCUUAAAUUAAAAUUAAACAAACUGACAAAACUUUUACAAAUCAUGAUUUCCCACCAAAAAUUAAAAAUUCAUUAGUAUGAAAAUUGAAGUGUGACUCUCCAAUUCUUUUAGUAGCUGCACAAAAUAAAUAGAGUAGACCUCACCGGAAAAAAAAAAAAAAAAAGCACAUUUCACAAAAAAUGUCAAUGCAAAUGGACUUGAACAUUGCACCCGGGGAAAAUAAGGAACCAUUAACACUAUUGUUUGCACUUCAGGAAGUUGAGGAAACAAUAGGGACAGAGGGAACAUGAGAAAGUUGAAGAAACAUUCACCCCUGAGGAAGUUGAGGAGGAGCUAACACCGACUUUGACACCAAGUGAAGCUCAAUCUAUGAUAAAUAUUGACUUUUGUCUACUUGUUUGUAUUAUGUCCAAUUCAAAUAGUGUACUCAUAUGUUAUUUGACAUUUCAAAUCUCAUCAUCGUCACCCUUCAUGGAUAAUUGUCCCAAAACAUAACACACGCUUCAUUUGGAAUAUAUUGUCAUGUUUGAGAAAAAAAAAGGCACUAUAGUACAAGCACCUUAAAGGCUUGAACUUUUAACGCACCAUGAACUUAAACUUUUUAUAAGUGUGUACAACUUGCAUUUGAUGUUGGGGUGGUCACAUUUACAUAUAGGCGUCACUACAAAUUAAUUUACUCAUGUUUUAUGUGUUUCUUUUUUUUAAUACAACAAGCUAAAUCUACUUUUGAAUUUGUUGAGGCCUUUUUCUGGUUUCCUAUGUUCAUUUGCAAUAACUAACAUGUGAAAUGAAGGAUGAAUGGAUCAAUAUGAGACGAACAUAAUCUUCGCAGUAGUUAAUCUUAAUAAAAAGUAUUAAAAAAUAUUAUUAAUAAUCUUUGAUGAUUCAACUUUUAUCUUAAUUUGUGAUAUUUUGUUUCAUCAUAUUAAUUGUAGGGAUGUGUAGUAACUUGCAUAUUUUUUUACAGCAUUUCAAAUUUAGCUUUCAUUUAUAUGAAUAGCCACAAGGAAGUGGAGAAACCUUGUAUAUAUGCAACCAUAAAUUGUUAUUUUUCUUUAUGAUUGGUUUUUUUGUGUUGACAUUGUGACGGGUGAGCCAAGUUGCAGAAAACGUUCAUUUCCUAACAAAUGAACAAAGGAAGGCUAUAUCUCAUUUAUUGUUGCAGUCAAUUGAAAAUGGUAAACUAAAAUCUAGAACAAUAGUGCAAGUUGCAAAAUUGUACAACGUGAAUAGAAGCGUCGUUUUCAUAUUUGGAAUCAAUUGAAGGCUGUGGGUGAUGCUUCUCAUAACAAAACAAAGAACUAUGGAAGGAAAAUAGUUCAACUAAACGGUGAAAGUCUACAUAAAGUUCCAUUAUCAAAGCAGACUACCUUUUGUCUUUAUGUUGUGCUUUGAACAUUAACAUGACAUCAUUGUUUAGAUUGCAAAAAACAGGAGUUAUACAUCGCCAUUCAAAUGCACUUAAGCCAUGUUUAAAGCCGGAGAACAUGAUUGUUUGUUUAAAGUUUUGCUUGUCAAUGCUUAAUUGUGGCAACAUGCCUCAUGAUCCAAAGUUUAAGUCCAUGAAAAAUAUUUUGUUCAUUGAUGAGAAAUGUUUCUACAUUACAAAAUUUUUCACAAAUCUUUAUUUGUUUGCGGAGGAGGACGAGCCACAUAAGACAUGUAAAAGAAAAAUUUUUAUAGCCAAACUUAUGUUUUUAGUUGUAGUGGCUAGACUCAGGUUUAGCCAUGAAGGAAAUGAGACAUUUGCGGGAAAGAUUGGUGUUUUUCCUUUUGUAAUUGAUCAACCAACAAAGAGAACCGGUGUGAAUCGAGUGGCAAACACAAUCAAAAUGAAACCAUGACUUAUGUGAUAAAGGUGAAUAAAAUAUUCUUAAUCGAUAGAGUUUCGUUGGCUAUCAAGAAUCUAUGGCCAAGGGAAGAUGCAGGGAAACCAAUUUUUAUACAACAAGAUAAUGCAAGGUGUCAUGUUGAUCCAAAUGAUGUGGACUUUUGUCGAGCAUCAAAAGAAUGUAGGUUUAACAUUCAAUUUAAACUCUCAUGAUUUAAAUGUGUUGGAUUUGGGAUUUUUCAAUGUCAUAUAGUCUUUACAACAUAAAGAAGCAACAAAGACAAUUGACGAACUUAUUGUGGCAGUAGAAAAAUCAUUUCAUGUGUUUUCUACCACACAAUCAAAUAAGAUUUUUCUCACUCUUCAAUCAUGUAUGGUUGAAAUAAUGAAGAUCAAGGGAUCAAACAAGUACAAGAUAACUCGUAUGAAGAAAGAUAUGUCAUGUGACCAAGGUAGAAUACACAGUUAGUUGAGUUGUGAUCCUCUAUUGAUUCAUGAAGUCACUCAAUAUAUUAGUGAUAACAUUGUUUGACCUGUGUUAGUGAUGAAAAUACAAUUAUCUUUAUCAUUUGCUUUAUCAUUGUAACUUGUUUUAGUGAUGACAUUGCUUAAAUUGUGUUAUGAUUUACUUAAUUUAGUUGUUUUAUCCUUUAAUGAGCAAAAGUUGUUUUAUCCUUUUAUGAUUUUGGUUUGUUAUAUGUAAGUGCAAUUGGUAUUGGAAUGAGCUACAGGAUGAGGUUUGAAUUGUGGCACAUUAUUGAUGAUAAAAAAGAUUUCCAUUUUGUCUUGUGGCAAAAAUGAUAGAGAAUUUGUGGCACAUUACAGAUGAUGUUUUUCAAAGCAUGUAUAGAUUGAAGCUCCACAUAGUGAACACGUGUCAAUUAAUUUGAUACUUAUACCAUGCAUUUUAAUGAGUAUGAACGAGAAUCAUAAAAUUAAACUUAUGCUAACUCAAGUUGGAAAAGUUAUUGGUAGUGACAUUAAGAAAGUGAGUGACAAAAUUCUUGUGUUCACCUUUUGAUAAAAUUCUUUGCAUUAAAAAAACUCUUUUUUGAAAGACUUCAAAUUGAAAGUGAAUAAAAUACUCUACAUGAAGCUAGCUUAAUUUAUGAUAAAAAAAAUUUGACAACUAUAUGUUUGUAAAAAAUUCAAGGCAAAAGUCAUUAAAACUCUAUUUUGAUAAGGCUAUUAGCAUCAUGUAAUGCAUUGGCCUUUUGCUAAGUUAAAAAAGUUUAUGAAUUGAAAAUAAGAAUCAUGAAUAUGUAUGAAUUCAAAUAAGUAUUUUUAAAUUAACUAAAAAAAAUAAGUCCUUUUAAUUGAGUAGAAUAUUUAUUAAUUGUUUUUAUAAUAAAUCAUUUCAAUUAAUUUAAUUACUUACUUUUCUUAAAGAGAUCUACUCCAAAUUUCCAUAAAAAAAAACUACUUCAAAUAAGUAGACAUAAAUAUUAUGUUAAAAAAAACAAACAUUAACACAACAAGAUCUACUCCAACUUCUCAUUACAAAGAAAAAAUAAAAGAAAUAACUUCAAAUAAGCAAACAUAAAUAUUUAUCCCAAAAAAAGCAAAUUGAAGUCAGAUCCUCGUUGCACACACUUAUAUUUAAGCAACUUAGUAGAAUAUAUCAAAAUAAAUCUUUAGCAUUGACAAAACGUUUUUGUUCAUAUCUUCACUUUCAAAACCAAAAUCAUGCACGUCAUCCGGAUAUUUGUUAAGAUAAACAAGAUUGUUGUUGACGAAGCCACUAGAAGACAAGGGAGCACAACCAUUUGAACAAACCUCUUUGUUUUCUGUUAAAUCUUCCUCAAGCCAUGUUUUGUGCUUACGCCUAAAAAAGGUUUCUCCAACCUCAUUUUCAUCCUCGCUAGCCACCGACGAGUCGUCAACAAUCUUAUCAAAGGAAUCUUCAUCCUCUUCAAUCUUGAUAGCUUUUUUCAGGGAAUCAUUUACAAAAAUUUCGUUUGGAUCCUUGUUCAAAUUGAAAAUCUCAUCUUUCAAUUUGUUUUCCUUAAUCUCUGGUUCAUGCAUGGAAGCCAUUGUUGUUGUGAUUGAAGAUAACCAAUGGUCAAUAUACCAAGAGUUUGUUUACUAUCAUGGUGCAAAAAAAAAUGUUCUCCUUAUUUAAGAAAUAAAGUAUUUUUUUUUAACUACAAGGAUACUACAUGCAUGUUUGAUUUAAGGGGAUCAAUCAUAGCCAAAAGUAUUUGGAGUUGAUUCGAAGUGAAAAUUACAAGAAAAAAUAUUUGAUAAAGGUUAAAGGUAAAUGAAUGAGUGGAAAAAAUAUGAAACUCAUUACUUAAAACUUUUAUCUAAAAAUACAUACUGGGGUUUCGUAUAUUGUUAGUAUAAUCAGUUAUGUAAAUACUUUAAUUUUUAAAUUUGGUUGAGUUUCUUUGGGUUGGUGGAUUAAGUGUGUGUUUGAAUGCAGGUUGAUAAAAUUGAUUUUGUAAGAUUAAUUUUGAUUAAAAUUGAUAUUGAAAUAAUGUGAUGUUUAUUUGAAUAUUUUAUUAUACAAUCAAAUUAAAAAUAAAAUUUAGUACAAAAUUCAACGGAAAAAUUGUUCAAAGUUAAUUUAAUCUAAAAUCAAUUUUGAAUUGAUAAUGAAUUGAGUUAUUUAUUUAUUUACCUACUAAUUUAAUUUAUUUAUUUAUUUACGCUUUUGUUUCAUCUUAAUCAAAUACUCUGAUUUUCUAUUGUUUUUCUUCUCUCUUCAUUUAUGAUAAUUUCGUUCAUUUUCAUGGCUCUGUCAAAUACAAUAUUACAUUCUUGUAUUUUAUCUCUUUAUUUUAUUUUUUUCAAGCGGAGGUUCGAGCCCUUUGUUUAACAAGCGGAGGUUUCUGGUUUCACCAGAAUCCCCACACCCCCCUGACAAGUCAUGUCCGUGGCUUCAGACCAUCUUUUCAGAAUUUGUUCAAACGACAAAAACUCACAGAAAAAGCAAACCUUUCCCCACUUUUCCCCUUUCCACAACCAUAACAAAAUUCAAAUUUCAAAACGCCGCUUAAAUACACAUAGAGAAAGGACAAUCCCAUCCUACACAAAGCUACAUGGUAAAAAUAUAAACAGAAAUUAUACCACAUUUUCUCUAACAUUUUUGUCCUAUGGCUUAAUUCAAAAUAAUACAUUUUAGUAANNNNNNNNNNNNNNNNNNNNNNNNNNNNNNNNNNNNNNNNNNNNNNNNNNNNNNNNNNNNNNNNNNNNNNNNNNNNNNNNNNNNNNNNNNNNNNNNNNNNUUCAAACCAGGUCUAAAACAGUCCGCACGUAGAAUCAAACACGUUUUUCUUACAUAAAUAAAACUCCUAAUUAAUAAGAUAUUUUUUUUUUAAAAAAAAACACUGCCUAUAAAUAAACCCAAAAUAAAACCCUCUCUGAAACAACAUACUUCGAUUAUUUCUUUCCCCCCAGCCAUGGCUCGCUCAUUGUUCCUAUGCUCACUCCUCAUCCUCGCUGUCACCACCUUUUCCUCACCCACGGGUGCUCUUAUCCUGACCCUAGUCAACAACUGCAACUACACCGUGUGGCCCGGCAUCCAGCCCAACGCCGGCCACCCCGUCCUCGCCGGCGGCGGCCUCACCCUCCGCUCCCUCACCCACCAAUCCAUCCCCGUCCCCGACGCCCACUGGUCCGGCCGCGUCUGGGCCCGCACCGGCUGCUCCUACUCCGGCACCGCCUUCUCCUGCGCCAGCGGCGACUGCGGCGGCCGCCUCCAGUGCAACGGCGCCGGGGGCGCCGCACCCGCCACCCUCGCCCAGCUCGAGGUCCACCACGGCAGCAACGACUACGCCUCCUACGGCGUCAGCCUCGUCGACGGUUUUAACGUCCCCAUGAC